rnacentral:rRNA from 1 species
GAUGAACGCUGGCGGCGUGCCUAAUACAUGCAAGUCGAGCGAACAGACGAGGAGCUUGCUCCUCUUACGUUAGCGGCGGACGGGUGAGUAACACGUGGAUAACCGACCUAUAAGACUGGGAUAACUUCGGGAAACCGGAGCUAAUACCGGAUAAUAUAUUGAACCGCAUGGUUCAAUAGUGAAAGACGGUUUUGCUGUCACUUAUAGAUGGAUCCGCGCCGCAUUAGCUAGUUGGUAAGGUAACGGCUUACCAAGGCGACGAUGCGUAGCCGACCUGAGAGGGUGAUCGGCCACACUGGAACUGAGACACGGUCCAGACUCCUACGGGAGGCAGCAGUAGGGAAUCUUCCGCAAUGGGCGAAAGCCUGACGGAGCAACGCCGCGUGAGUGAUGAAGGUCUUCGGAUCGUAAAACUCUGUUAUUAGGGAAGAACAAAUGUGUAAGUAACUAUGCACGUCUUGACGGUACCUAAUCAGAAAGCCACGGCUAACUACGUG